CGCGUGUUGCAAAUACAAGUGCGAGUGCAUCAACGCGUGUACACUGUGUAGCGACGUUUGACUGCCGGGAUUCGACGUCAUUUUUCGCGAAAGUAAAGGAACAACCUCGCAAACCCGCAGCUUUGCUAGAUUUUCGCUGUUCGAUGCAAAAAUAAUUUACAGCUCGAAAGCGGCUUGCAUUAAAAGAGUUGUAACAAUUGUCUACGUUGUUGCAUUCUGAAGAAUCUUUCAUUUAUCCAUCAUUAGCCACAAAUUAACUUCUUCGGCUUACAUCGACUUACACUAUUUCUGGUUUCAACGGCUCAUUUAUCGAUCAGAUCGCGACGAUAUCGAUCGCGACGAUCUCAACGACGUUAAACGUUUGCAAAACAGAAUUUUGAGCUUGGAAUAUACGAACACUUCGGAAGCUUGUACACUCUACCAUAGAACGGCACUCGGUUGAACAUUGGAAUUAUUAAUGCGAUUGUCAAUAUUGAUAUCCUAUAAUUGUUGCUUUUAAUGUGUUAGUAAACUAGUGUUGUCUAUUUCAAGAGUAAACUACUAUAAUAUGUAGGUAUAGUUUGUGCGCUGGACCAAAGUAUGGCUGGAGAAGUUUUCAUCGUCCAAUUUUCAUUUCGAAAUUAUUGCCAAUUGUUUGUACGUUUUCUAUGUUUGUAAGAAUUAUCAAAUAAAUGUACGUUCACGAAAA